GGGCUAUUAUUGUGGCGAGGAUCAUGAGAGGAGGUGCAGCUGACAAAAGCGAUCUUAUCCAUGAAGGGGAUGAGCUGAAGGAGGUGAACGGAGUGUCACUGGAGCACAAAAAGCAAAAGGAAAUCCUUCGUCUUCUGGCGCGUUCUCAAAGUGAAGUGACUUUUAAAAUCAUUCCUGCCCCCACAAAGGAAGAGGUGUCAUCAAGUGAGAGGAAG